GAGCCGCUAGCUCAUCAGGUAGAGCAACAGCCUUUUAAGCUGUGGGUGGUGGGUUCGAGUCCCACGCGGCUCA
rnacentral:tRNA from 1 species